CCGUUCUUGUGUUAUUUGCUGAAUUCGCAUUAUCGUUCAGUGAUCGUCAAAAAGAACGCAUAGUGACUCCCAAGCCAGUUUAUCACUCCACAUUGUUGAGCCUCAUUUUUCCAAGGUUGCUACAAUACUAACCCGCUGGUUACAAAC